rnacentral:rRNA from 1 species
GUUUAGUGGCGGACGGGUGAGUAACGCGUGAGUAACCUGCCUUUCACAGGGGGAUAACGUUUGGAAACGAACGCUAAUACCGCAUAACACAGCAGAGUCGCAUGGCUCAGCUGUCAAAGAUUUUAUCGGUGAAAGAUGGACUCGCGUCCGAUUAGGUAGUUGGUGAGGUAACGGCUCACCAAGCCGACGAUCGGUAGCCGGACUGAGAGGUUGAACGGCCACAUUGGGACUGAGACACGGCCCAGACUCCUACGGGAGGCAGCAGUGGGGAAUAUUGCACAAUGGGCGCAAGCCUGAUGCAGCAACGCCGCGUGAGGGAAGACGGUUUUCGGAUUGUAAACCUCUGUCUUUGGUGACGAAGAAGUGACGGUAGCCAAGGAGGAAGCCACGGCUAACUACGUGCCAGCAGCCGCGGUAAUACGUAGGUGGCAAGCGUUAUCCGGAAUUACUGGGUGUAAAGGGAGCGCAGGCGGGAUAGCAAGUCAGCGGUGAAAUGCAUGGGCUUAACUCAUGAGCUGCCGUUGAAACUGUUAUUCUUGAGUGGAGUAGAGGCAGGCGGAAUUCCGAGUGUAGCGGUGAAAUGCGUAGAUAUUCGGAGGAACACCAGUGGCGAAGGCGGAUUGCUGGACGAUAACUGACGGUGAGGCGCGAAAGUGUGGGGAGCAAACAGGAUUAGAUACCCUGGUAGUCCACACUGUAAACGAUGAUUGCUAGGUGUGGGGGGUCUGACCCCCUCCGUGCCGGAGUUAACGCAAUAAGCAAUCCACCUGGGGAGUACGGCCGCAAGGUUGAAAC